rnacentral:lncRNA from 1 species
GGCGCAGCCGCCUCCUGGAGUCCCUAGUGCGCCAGGAGCCUCGCUCCGUUCUGAUUCGUAUGGGCUCCGCAGAGUUCCGCUUGCGUCAGGGGCCUUCGCCCCUAUAGCGGGGCAGCCAGCAGCGCACGGGCGAGUUCAUCUCUAAGUCUCCUUUUUUUUUUAAACGGCCGGCAGAACUUGGACCGGCCUUCCCGAGCCUCCGGAGCCUCCCGGGCCCAGCCAACAGCCUGCCUCACGCUCUUACGAGUCUUGAAAAUCUGCGGGUGUUUGCUUCGCCGAAAAGCCCUGGUUGGGGCUCGCUGCGCCCUGCCAGUGCCCCGGGAAUGCUGACCCCAGCGAGGAGAGGUGAUCCAAGCCUCUGGGCAGCUUUCAGGUGAAAGAAAACAAAACCCUUUGCUCUGUGCUUCGGGCUGUGCUGGGGCUAGACUUCUAGCUUUGAGGCUUAGGGAGGGGCGAGAUGGCAAGGGGGCCGGACCGGGGUGGAGUGGCCGAACUUUGCGGCAGCUGGAGGUAAACCAGCUCAGAGCUCGUGUCACGGAAGGCAGAAGCUUCGGCCUGCUCUGUCCCUCGAGCUCUCUGAGCCCAAUUGAGGCUGGGGAGAGGAUCGCUGGGAAGAGACACCCAGGAGUACCGCUCACUGGCAUCGGACGUUUCGCUUCUCUGUGCUGAGGUGGAUGUAGGGACCAGCUUUCUCCUUGGAACUCGCCUUGCAAUCCCACAAUUUGGGUGUGUGUUUUAAAGAUCAAGUGGUAUCCCUUGUACUCUGGCUUGGACACAGACGAGGAUGUUGCUGAGGGGCUUUGGGGACUGUUGCGUGCACAAGUGUCACGCGUGGAAGGCACGGGGCAAAAAUCUGUUCUUAAAGACACACGUGAUACUGCGCAAGUGUGCUGUUCAGAAACCCAGCCGUUACCUGCAUCUUCUCCUUCCAGCAUAGAUAAUAGCCGAAGUCUGGUGGGGAUCCAGUUACAUCUCCGAAAAUAGAAAACGGACUUAGAGGAAUUCCUUCCGUGCCAGCACAACAUCAGGUUGCUUGGACUUUAAGAGUUCUCCAGAAUGCCACGAGCCCACACUGGCCAGUGGCUCCAGCGGUCCGAAGACCAUUUAUCUACAGUGUGUGCUUGUGCUUCCCACUUUGAGAUGAAGGGAAAGGAGGACUCUGUGUGUGUGUGUGUGUGUGUGUGUGUGUGUGUGUGUGUGUGUGUGUAGUCCAACAUCUCAAAGAUGACUACAGAGAGGUCAGCCAGGCAAACCCGGCCUAACCACCAGGAUACAAGGGAGGAUCAGCACCCUAAUCCCAGGUGGAGAAAGAGUGCCUCUUGUGCGCACAAGGCUGGGAAACACAACUGCAGGGCGCCCCGAGGGAUCACCUUCCAGACCCUGGGUGAGCAGCCAGAGCUAAGAAGACUGGGACGAAUGUGCUUGCCUGUUCGGUGGUACAGCAGUAGGUGGAUAGAGCAGGCACUCUAGGAAGUGGCCGGGUGGACUUUGAUUCACUUCUCACUCCUACCCAGUCCCCUUAGGCAGGCUGGGUAGGGACCCAGGUCUCGACUAUAGUAGGAUUCUGUUCCUCUAGGCCUGUGCGGCCCCGUUGUGCGGCCCCCACAACUUUCACCCGUUUCAUUCUGGCAAGGUUAAGCACCAUCCACUUAGUGGCAGAGGCCUCGGUCCUGAGCCAGGCGGAGGAACUCCGUGUUUCUCUGGCCGGGGUUUUCAGGAUUCCUCAGCGCCUCCAGCUCCUUGUGCCUCUAGAGAAAUGCCUGCCCAUGCCUUGCCGGGGAGCCAGGGACAGAGCAGAAGCCUCUCAGCAAGCUGGUCUAACGCUCCGAAGUCUCGACCGCCGCCUACGUGAGCAAGUCGCGGAUCCCCGGUGAAGAUGCUUUUCUCCCGGGCCGAGCUUCCUGCAGCUGCCGCAGAAACACCGCGGACCGCCACGCGAGGCAGGUACCUUUUGGCUCUGGUGUUUUGCUUGGAGGAAUGAAAGACCAGUGAUCUGUCUGAACAGAAAGAAUGCCAUUGUAUGGACAUGGAAACUCAAGUCCAGAGACAUACAUGGUCAUGCAUGAUGACAAGGUCCCACUGAAUAGUCCUUGCUGGCCUGGAACUCUCUUGUAGACCAGGUUGGCCUUGGCUGAGAUCUGCCUGUUGAGCACCGGUAUUAAAGGCUGACAGAACCCUGUAUUUUAUGCCUAAUCCAAGUGUGAACGCCGGUUUUCUCCUGCACACUGCCACUUUCCUAGUUACAGAAUAGCAACUAGUGCUCCAAGCUUGGCACCAUAUAACUCCCCCGGGGGUGGCAGUCCCUCCCACCCCUGGGGUCCCUCUCUUAGCUCAGGCUACCCUGGAGCUUGAGAUACUCCUCCUUCAGACUCUCAGAUUUCAGAUAUGCGUCGUGAUGCCCCAUCUCAAUGCAUGUUCUUUAUAGAGCUGAGAGGGGCUGUGUUCGUGCAUCUUCACGGUCAACUUGAUUGAAUUUGGAAUCACGUAGGAAACACACUGU